GAUGAAGAACGUAGCGAAAGGCGAUACGUAAUGUGAAUUCCAAAUUCAGUGAAUCAUCGAGUCUUUGAACGCACAUUGCGCCCCCUGGUAUUCCGGGGGGCAUGCCUGUCCGAGCGUCAUUGCUACCCUCAAGCACGGCUUGUGUGUUGGGCCCCGUCCUCCGAUUCCGGGGGACGGGCCCGAAAGGCAGCGGCGGCACCGCGUCCGGUCCUCGAGCGUAUGGGGCUUUGUCACCCGCUCUGUAGGCCCGGCCGGCGCUUGCCGAUCAACCCAAAUUUUUAUCCAGGUUGACCUCGGAUCAGGUAGGGAUACCCGCUGAACUUAAGCAUAUCAAUAAGCGGAGGA
rnacentral:misc_RNA from 1 species